CCUACGGGGGGCAGCAGUGAGGAAUAUUGGUCAAUGGACGAGAGUCUGAACCAGCCAAGUAGCGUGAAGGAUGACUGCCCUCUGGGUUGUAAACUUCUUUUAUAUGGGAAUAAAACGUUCCACGUGUGGGAUUUUGUAUGUACCAUAUGAAUAAGGAUCGGCUAACUCCGUGCCAGCAGCCGCGGUAAUACGGAGGAUCCGAGCGUUAUCCGGAUUUAUUGGGGUUAAAGGGAGCGUAGGUGGAUUGUUAAGUCAGUUGUGAAAGUUUGCGGCUCAACCGUAAAAUUGCAGUUGAAACUGGCAGUCUUGAGUACAGUAGAGGUGGGCGGAAUUCGUGGUGUAGCGGUGAAAUGCUUAGAGAUCACGAAGAACUCCGAUUGCGAAGGCAGUUCACUGGACUGCAACUGACACUGAGGCUCGAAAGUGUGGGUAUCAAACAGGAUUAGAUACCCUUGUAGUC
rnacentral:rRNA from 1 species